AGCUGAACGACAUGAUGCGAUAUCUCUGCCUUUACUUGAUUAUCUACAUGCAGUUGUGUAUCUCCUUCUCCACGGCUUGGGGUAAUGGUGGCUCUAGAAAGUAUAGUUUUAGAAAGAAAUCUGCGAUCGGGAUUUCACCGGUAAAUGAGGACCAACUUCCAGAAGAAGUGAGAGCUGUGAAAUCUUUGGAG